rnacentral:lncRNA from 1 species
ACCCUCAAUACUGUAGCAUAUACACACAUCGAAGGAAGCUAAUUAAAUUCAAUUAGCAACAAAUACUAUACAUAAAAGUUUCUAUUAUAUAAUUGCAUUUUCUCAUUAACAGACUGUAAGAAACUCGUAAUUUUAGAAGCAAAAUAGAUUAACAUUAUAUUUGAUGCUUUGACGUGCAGUACUCUUUCCCCUUUUUUCCAUGCACAACUGACAAAAAAAUGCAAGCAAUUAUUCCUCCAUGAAACAAAAACACGAAGAAUACAAAAUUAGAAUGGACUGAUGUUUGUUUCCUUGAUUAAAAAAGGAUUGAACACUAAAUUAACUAUUUGUCGCUUCGGAUAAAACUUAAAGUAUCUGAAAUCCAAGAAAUGAUUGUGUGACGUAGUUGGCUGAAUUUAAUAAUGUAGUUAAUUAGUUAUCGUUUUCUCUAGCUGAAAAAAUGUCCUGCACUAAAAUAACAUAGAAAAAAAUUAGAUCAGGUACACGUCAAAAAAAUACUUUUGUGUGUAUUUUCAUUUAUAAUAGGUCAGUCUAUUUCUCUACCAUGUGCAAUGUAUAAAGGAUUUGACAUCAGCUUGUAAGUUUUGCUAGCUAGUCAGGAUGUCGUUCAUGUUGUUAUCCAUGUGGUAGCCUAAGUGCAAGUAACCCAUGUGCAUCAUAUUAUAUAAUAUAUCCUAUAUAUGCAAUUUGCAAUUUAUCCAUGACAAAGGAGGCAACUUAAAAGAAAAGAAGGUGCAACGAAAAAGACUUUACACUCUGAAUUUGUACCGCUGCAAGCACUGCACCGGGAACAUGUGGCACGGUCAGAGUCUCGUCGCUUCUGGCACAUCUCGCCUUCGCCGGCAUGCAGCCUAACAUCUUAGUCCUCGCACAUGCUGGUAGUGAUGCGUUUUGCUCUUGGAUAAUAGCAUCGGCCGGGCUAAUAGAGAAAAUUGAUUAGCCCAGUCUGCAGUAUGCCCGUGUGUUUUCCGCUGAUUGAAAAGCUAGCUAGUCUUGGACCAAAUGGAUCCAGCUGCCCGCCUCUAGUGCCAGAUCGUGUAUUCAUGUGUCCCAGUAGAAUCAAGCCUAGCAUGUACAUACACUUGAGUCGGCGCCGUGCAGCCGCGCGGAAAGUUCCACGGUUGGAGGCCCUCCAAUCCAACUUCCGCAUCAUGCAGCCAUGUUAGCUAAUGCUGGCACACUCCGGUGUGCAGUCCCGUGUGUCAGGUUGUAAAGCCACAGCUGCGCGUCCACCUCGAGGCCGUUAAUAGGUUUGCAGGAUGGCAUGGAGAAUAGAGGCGCUAGGGUUUCGUGAGGAUGCUUACGUAGUUACGUGCGUCGGUGGAACAAAU